rfam:Alligator mississippiensis ScZkoYb_144.1, whole genome shotgun sequence.
CGAUGACCGUUCCUCUCGCUGCCACAAGAUAUGGGCAGCGGGAUUUUGUGUCGUCGCAGAUUAAACUUGACUUUUCUUCACUUGGGGUGCCUUGGAUGGAUUGGCUGUCUGUUAGGCCCUCCAAAUUUUGCGGGGUCAGACAUUC